GUUCCCAAUACACACUGUCUAUAUCUUUUCCAGCUUGUACAAGUUCCCUGUAAAGAGCAGUGGAUAAAGAUAAGCAGAGUGCAAAACAGGAAGCACGAACAGGGUUAGACGUAAUGUGAAGAAUAUCAUAGAUGCAUUUCAGAUGCUCGUCAUAAAGCUCCAAGCAUGAGCCAAAGGGUGGAACAGUCCUACCAAAUCCAACCUUUGUAUGGACAUUUGACCAAACAGAAACAUUUAUUAUACUUUCCCAAGACCAACUCUUGUUAUUGUCUUCAUUCUAUGUCUCCUCUCCUAUUUUACUCUAAAAAACGGUUUGUAAAUCCGUUCAGCUGAUGAGAAACACUUGAAAGUCUAGAUUA